rnacentral:rRNA from 1 species
GACGAACGCUGGCGGCGUGCCUAAUACAUGCAAGUUGAGCGAUGAAGAUUGGUGCUUGCACCAAUUUGAAGAGCAGCGAACGGGUGAGUAACGCGUGGGGAAUCUGCCUUUGAGCGGGGGACAACAUUUGGAAACGAAUGCUAAUACCGCAUAACAACUUUAAACAUAAGUUUUAAGUUUGAAAGAUGCAAUUGCAUCACUCAAAGAUGAUCCCGCGUUGUAUUAGCUAGUUGGUGAGGUAAAGGCUCACCAAGGCGAUGAUACAUAGCCGACCUGAGAGGGUGAUCGGCCACAUUGGGACUGAGACACGGCCCAAACCCCUACGGGAGGCAGCAGUAGGGAAUCUUCGGCAAUGGACGAAAGUCUGACCGAGCAACGCCGCGUGAGUGAAGAAGGUUUUCGGAUCGGAAAACUCUGUUGGUAGAGAAGAACGUUGGUGAGAGUGGAAAGCUCAUCAAGUGACGGUAACUACACAGAAAGGGACGGCUAACUACGUG